rnacentral:rRNA from 1 species
CCUACGGGAGGCAGCAGUGGGGAAUAUUGCACAAUGGGCGCAAGCCUGAUGCAGCCAUGCCGCGUGUGUGAAGAAGGCCUUCGGGUCGUAAAGCACUUUCAGCGGAGAGGAAGGCGGUGAGGUUAAUAACCUCACCGAUUGACGUUACCCGCAGAAGAAGCACCGGCUAACUCCGUGCCAGCAGCCGCGGUAAUACGGAGGGUGCAAGCGUUAAUCGGAAUUACUGGGCGUAAAGCACACGCAGGCGGUCUGUCAAGUCGGAUGUGAAAUCCCCGGGCUCAACCUGGGAACUGCAUUCGAAACUGGUAGGCUAGGGUCUUGUAGAGGGGGGUAGAAUUCCAGGUGUAGCGGUGAAAUGCGUAGAGAUCUGGAGGAAUACCGGUGGCGAAGGCGGCCCCCUGGACAAAGACUGACGCUCAGGUGCGAAAGCGUGGGGAGCAAACAGGAUUAGAUACCCUUGUAGUC